CUAAACAUGACACAAGGUCUAAACAUGAAACGAGGUCUAAACAGGAAACGAGAAACGAGGUCUAAACAUGAAAUGAGAAACAAGGUCUAAACAUGAAAUGAGAAACGAGUUCUAAACAUGAAAUGAAGUCUAAACAUGAAACGAGAAACGAGGUCUAAACAUGAAACGAGGUCUAAACAGGAAACGAGAAACGAGGUCUGAACAUGAAACGAGAAAUGAGGUCUAAACAUGAAAUGAAGUCUAAACAUGAAACGAGGUCUAAACAUGAAAUGAGAAACGAGGUCUAAACAUGAACGAGGUCUAAACAUGAAACAACGUCUAAACAUGAAAUGAGAAACGAGGUUUAAACAUGAACGAGGUCUAAACAUGAAACGAGGUCUAAACAAGAAACGAGAAACGAGGUCUGAACAUGAAACGAGAAACAAGGUCUAAACAUGAAACAAGGUCUAAACAUGAAAUGAGAAACGAGGUCUAAACAGGAAACGAGAAACGAGGUCUAAACAUGAAACAAGAAACAAGGUCUAAACAUGAAACGAGGUCUAAACAGUAAACGAGAAACGAGGUCUGAACAUGAAACAAGAAACGAGGUCUAAACAUGAAAUGAAGUCUAAACAUGAAACGAGAAAUGAGGUCUAAACAUGAAACGAGGUCUAAACAGGAAAUGAGAAACGAGGUCUAAACAUGAAAUGAGAAACAAAGUCUAAACAUGAAAUGAGAAACGAGGUCUAAACAUGAAACAAGGUCUACACAUGAAAUGAGAAACGAGGUCUAAACAUGAAACAAGAAACGAGGUCUAAACUUGAAACAACGUCUAAACAUGAAAUGAGAAAUGAGGUCAUAAACAUGAAACAUGAAACGAGGUCUAAACAUGAAAUGAGAAACGAGGUCUAAACAUGAAAGGAGAAACGAGGUUUAAACAUGAACGAGGUCUAAACAAGAAACGAGGUCUAAACAUGAAACAAGGUCUAAACAUGAAACGAGAAACGAAGUGUAAACAUAAAACGAG
ensembl:lncRNA